rnacentral:rRNA from 1 species
GACGGGGACCCGCACAAGCGGUGGAUGAUGUGGUUUAAUUCGAUGCAACGCGAAAACCUUACCCACCUUUGACAUGGCAGGAAUCCCGAAGAGAUUUGGGAGUGCUCGAAAGAGAACCUGCACACAGGUGCUGCAUGGCUGUCGUCAGCUCGUGUCGUGAGAUGUUGGGUUAAGUCCCGCAACGAGCGCAACCCUUGUCAUUAGUUGCCAUCAUUUGGUUGGGCACUCUAAUGAGACUGCCGGUGACAAACCGGAGGAAGGUGGGGAUGACGUCAAGUCCUCAUGGCCCUUAUGGGUAGGGCUUCACACGUCAUACAAUGGUCGGUACAGAGGGUUGCCAACCCGCGAGGGGGAGCUAAUCCCACAAAGCCGAUCGUAGUCCGGAUCGCAGUCUGCAACUCGACUGCGUGAAGUCGGAAUCGCUAGUAAUCGUGGAUCAGCAUGUCACGGUGAAUACGUUCCCGGGUCUU